UUCUAGCCCUGAUAGUAGUGAAAAUCCUUUUAUGUCCGCCACGGCGGAAAUAAAAGAUUGCAGCGGAUAGCAGGAAAUAGC
rnacentral:sRNA from 1 species